AUAACCACAUAAUAAUAUUAUUUUAUUAUUCGCCGACUUUUGAAUGAUUCCAUUAUUUGAACAGAAAUACAGACUACAUUCGUACAGAGUUGUAUUCAUACGUUUUAGUAAAAAAUUGCCAUGCAUAAGUGUAUUCUUUUUAGUAAAAAAUCCAAAGUAUCGCCUAACCAAAUUACGUUAAUUUUCAUUUAUUUCCAAAAAAUUAAAAUAGAAGGAAAUAAUGAUUAAAAAUCUUCGAAUUAAUCAGUGAUUAUAAACAAGACUCGGUAAAUCAGAAGAUAUUAUGGCCAGAGGCUGUCUCAAAACAUAAUCCAAACCACGUCGUGUCUGGGAUAGAGAAGUAAAAUAAAUUUUAAUAAUUUACAGCAAUACUGGUACUACUCUGAGCACGACUAGUAAAUCAUCAAAGAGAAAAUUAUGUUUCCCCAAUGAUGAAUUAGAAGAAAAUGAACAGACAAACAAAGGAUUUGAAGACAUUACAGACUUACAGUUUAUGAUUUUAAUUAACCCAAAAAAGCCUUAGAAACUUAAUAAUGUCUAAUUCACACACACUUAUUUCAUACAAUGGAUUAUUGUUUUCAAAAAAGAUAUAUAUGAUGUACCGCAUACAAGGAACUAAGAAGUGGAGCCAAUGUAUUGACAUCUUUUCAGACGUUGACUUUCUUGAUCAUAAUUCUACCGACUCAGAUGAAGCCAUACAAUUUUGGAGCGAACUAUGAAACUUAAAGGCAAUACAAUUUUGCUGAGCAAGAAUCUAAUUUCAAUAACACAGUGGCCCUCAACAAUUUAAAUUGCAAAGAAACACAUAACUAGUUUCUACUUCAGUGUCUUUUUUGAAAGCAAACUGAAUCUAGUUGGAUGACAGAAACAAAAAGUUAUUUUAGAACUUGUCUCUUUACACGGUACACAGCGACAACCAGUACAAAGUACAGGUACCGCAGCGACUGGUCUACACUUUUGUCAACCGCCACCACGGGCUAAGACGGCGCGACACCGUCGACUCUCCCACUGUGCCGCAAAGGCACAAGGCGGGACAGGAAGGCAAGUCAUGCAAGAGUACUGACCACCGGAAGCCUUUCUCUCGUUCACCAACCGUCUUAACGCCAUCAUACCGCCAACAGCUAUACCACGUCGAAUACACCAGUUCUCAUCCAAUCACCGAAGUUAAACUCUCGACCACAACAUAAAUACUUGUAUUAUCAUACUACCACCGUCGGCAGUAUACCGGUACUUUUAUUACACCCAAAUAAACGUCCCUCGCUGACCAUUUAUGUUCAAGUUGUGUUGUGUA